AAAUCAAGAGUUGGUUGCUUAGCUGACUGAGUCACCCAGGUGCCCCAGGAGAGAAUUUUAUUUUAAAAGUGUCAUCUUAAACUGCAAGAAUGUCUGUUAAACAUCACAAUUAAACAUGCCAGAGAAGCCAUGUAGACAUCUAGAAGCUUAAAGGUCACAGAAAAAAAGAUGAAACAGUAUCUGCCUUCAUGAAAUUUACUGGCUAGUUUCACAGACAAGACACACAUGUAUAAAACCAUCCAGAAAUUAUUAAAUAUUAACUAAUGGGAAUAAAGUACCCAUAAUGUAGGGCUAAGGAUAGCCAAAGAAAGGUACGGAGGCUUGAGCAACUAGAGAGAUUUUGUGAAGAAUUUUAAGUGGGCCCUGAGUGAUUAACAGGAUUUAAAUAGGCAGGGGAGGGAAAAUAAGUAAAUAGAGUAAACUAAAAAAAA